GGUGGUGUAGCUCUGUAGUACAGUGCUUGCUUAGCAUGCAUGAGGUCCUGGGUUCAAUCCAAAGUACCUCCA
rnacentral:tRNA from 1 species